UACGGAGGAUGCGAGCGUUAUCCGGAUUUAUUGGGUCUAAAGGGUGCGCAGGCGGCACGGCAAGCCGGCGGUCAAAUCGCGGGGCUCAACCCCGCCCAGCCGUCGGAACUGCCGGGCUAGAGUGGGCGAGAAGUGCGCGGAAUGCGUGGUGUAGCGGUGAAAUGCAUAGAUAUCACGCAGAACUCCGAUUGCGAAGGCAGCGCACCGGCGCCCUACUGACGCUCAGGCACGAAAGCGUGGGUAUCGAACAGG
rnacentral:rRNA from 1 species